CAAAGCACCCAGAGAUUGAUGUGCCGAAUCUGCAGGUGAUAAAGCUGAUGCAGAGCUUCAAAUCCAGAGAGUAUGUGAGGGAGACAUUUGCGUGGAUGCACUAUUACUGGUUCCUCACCAACGAUGGAAUUGAGUUCCUCAGGACAUACCUCAACCUUCCUUCCGAAAUUGUCCCUGCCACUCUCAAGAAGCAGGCCAAGCCCGCGGGAAGACCAUUCGGUGGCCCACCCGGUGAUCGCCCCAGGUAAUUUUAACAUUCUUCCUCAUGGUUUUUACUUUUUUACUAUGAUUUUUCUGUGUUUGACCAAAUAUUCAAAUGUGAUUGUUUUCAACAGGGGCCCACCUCGCUUUGACGGAGAGAGGAGAUUCGGUGGUGACCGUGAUGGAUACCGUGGAGGUCCACGCGGACCUGGUGGUGAUUUCGGUGACAAGGGUGGAGCUCCUGCUGACUACAGGCCUUCUUUUGGGGUAAGCUUUUUGCAAUAUAUCAAUUAACAUUAUUUGCUAUUAUUCUAUAUCAAUCAAUAUUAUUGUGUUUCUAUUUGUUUAUUUAUUGUUUGCUAUUAUUCUAUAUAUGUUCAGUAUCUUUUCUUCUACGAUUGUGUGUGUUAUUACUUUGCGCUCUAGUUUUGAUUUGUUUCUAUUUGUAUAUCUAGUUUUGAUUACAAAUUUGACUCUGCCCGUAUUUUUCGUGUUUCUAAUAACAUUGGUAUCUCUCCUUGAAAAAUUACUAUAAUGUCUAUAUAUCUUUUGUGGGUUCAAAUGUGCAUAUUCUAGCAUUCAAACGAUGGGGUAAGGCAUUUAAUUGUGUUAAUAAAAUCAAGCUUAGAGCUGCACCUUUUGUUUUCAAUUUGCCAACUGUAGUUAUGUAGUUUUCUGUAUCGGAUUAUGUUUCGUUGUUAGCUACAUUUUUAUGGUCUUCUUUAUAUUGUUAGGAAGGCGGGAGGGGUGUUGCACUGACUUUUUGUCCAAAUAAUGUUGACUGUAGUUGCAAGUUUAUUUGGAUGAUUUAAACCCAAAUUCUUCUUGUUUACGUAAUGCUAUUACUGUUUUCUCUUAUAUCUGUGAAGUAGCAUUGUCCUGAUUUUGAUAACGAAUUUGUAGAAGUUAGUUCUUGUGAUGGCCUACUUUGACAUGUCAAGUUUUCCUGAUAUGUAUAUGUUUUCACUCUGUUUGCAGGGUGGUCCUGGUGGAAGGCCUGGUUUUGGUCGUGGUUCCGGUGGUUAUGGUGCACCAACUAGUUCAA
rnacentral:lncRNA from 1 species